UAUAUCCUUUAUAUUCCAUUAAUAACAGAAAAAUGAUAGAAAAAGAUGAUCAUGUACGGUUUGUAGGGAGUCGGCAAGUUCGUAUAUGUGAAAAGAUUUUGGUGGAAAAGGUCCAUUUUUGGGACUCCCUUUGUCCGAGUAUAAGGAUGAUUUAUGUUUCUUCAGGCAAUCUCUUAUGCUUCGAAUGGUGUUGUUCUACUUAGCUCUUGCUGCCAGUUCUUCUGCCAGCAAGGUGGAUUCGGCUCUUUUUAGGUAGGGGGUUCAUAAUAGGAGUGAACAGUUGCCAUAAAGGCGACAAAGUUGAAGUGAUACUUGGAAAUGAGGCGUGUUGAUAGAGGGCUGACCUUGGACAAGCUUAUGUGCUUUGCUUGGAUUUCCGACAUGUUGGAGGUUUGGAACAAUUCAGCUAAGAGUAAUGGGUGACUUUCUGUAAUUGAGGCUUGCACAAGCAAAGCUUUCUGCUCCAAAAAAGGACUGCACACAGGACUCCAUCCACUCCAAACAAAAAAGCUUAUGUCUCAUAUUUGAUCUUAAUGAAGCUUGGAAAAGGGAUAUAUACGUGGUAUCAAGUGGUCAACAAACCAAGUGAGGCCAACACCUUAUGAAAAGAAUAUGUAAAAGCAUCAAAAGAGCAUUUUACCUACAACCGGUUUUUAUAAAAUUCUUCAAUGUAUACCGUCUUUGAGUCUCUUUAGCUGGAGACCCAAAUGCAAGACACACCUAAAGAAUAGUUUAUCCAUUGCUUGAGUAAAAAAAUAAGAGUGCAUUGGUCUAAGCAGAACAGUUCUGUUGCAAUUAGAAAAACUUUUGGAAAGUUUGAUGAUGUACUUGAAUCUGGUUGUCAUUGUUUGCCUUUGCUGUUGAGGUAGUGCAGUAGCAGCUCAUGUCUUUCUACAACUACAGCAAUUCAAUGCUCAGUGAUACACAGACUUGGAAGCUUAAGAGAUUGUGCUCCAAGGGGCCAAACCAUAAUCUGCAUCAAUGUUCAAUCAGAUUGGCGAAACUUCAUAAUAACAACGGCACAAGACCACUAAUUUUCAAGCCAACAUCCAUCAAAUAGUUCUCAUUAUUGUCUUUCAUCUAUUGCUUUUAUUAAACAAUACAUACCACUUUUGAUUUGAAGUUAUUGAUUCCGGUGGGAAAUUUGUGUAACAUGUUUUAAUCUGUAAAUUUUGACAAAAAUAUUCUGCUUUGU